rnacentral:rRNA from 1 species
UACGGGGGGGGUAAGCGUUGUUCGGAAUUACUGGGCGUAAAGGGCUCGUAGGCGGCCAACUAAGUCAGACGUGAAAUCCCUCAGCUUAACUGGGGAACUGCGUCUGAUACUGGAUGGCUUGGAUUCGGGAGAGGGAUGCGGAAUUCCAGGUGUAGCGGUGAAAUGCGUAGAUAUCUGGAGGAAUACCGGUGGCGAAGGCGGCAUCCUGGACCGGCAUUGACGCUGAGGCGCGAAAGCUAGGGGAGCAAACGGG